CCGAGACUGCGCCAUCGGGGCCGCGGCCCGCCGGCGCUCGCGCUUACUCCAGCUCCUUCUGCUCGGCCUCCUCGGGGGUCAGGUCCUCCUCCACGCUGUAGUCCAGCACGGCGCCCACGCCGAAGGCCUGGUUCCUCCUGAUGAGGGGUUUGAUGGCCUCCUGGUCCUCCCCGGCCACGAACUGCCCGUAGAAGGUCAUCUUCAUCAGCCUCUCGAAGAGCGGCUGCCCCAGCACCCGCCGGCUCAGCAGCAGCAGCUAGGGGACAGCGGGAGGUCCUUUUUAUAGCUGUGACUGCUGCAUCCGUGCCCCCUUCUCAGUUCCUGCUUCUGCAGCCCCAGCUCCGCCGUCUUUCCUGGAAGAUGAAUUUCGGCAGAUGCAGGGCUGCACAGACUCUCCCCAUUCUGGCUCCUCAGUGACAUCUUGUGCCUAGCAAUACUCAUCGCAGCCAGCGUUUGCAAGGCGGGACGAGAGCAAACAGCGCAGCAGACCGGCAAGUGCGUGCUUCGUUUGGAAACCACGCUUUCACUGGGCUGGGCUGGAGCAGCAAGAGAGAGCCUCUGAAGGACUUGCUUUGGAGAGGACUCCUUGAGUUUUGAUGCAAAGCGGUUCUUUUUCCAAAUCAUCCCCCAGCCUGCCAAGAGCUCCACAUUUUAAAAGUCUUGCCUAGUAUGGAUGAGGUAUAGUUACCGUAGGGCUAGUAGUACAGGAACAAUUCCAGUAAACAGUGUUUCCUCCACAGCCUAGCAGUGACAUUCAUGCAGUUCCCCCAACUGUAAUUAAAGGUGAACUCAGGGAGGUUCCUUGAGAGUAUUUGCAAGGUUUCUUUUUGGUAUCUCCCAUCCUUCCCUUGAGUCAGCCAGAGAAAAGGCUGAGAAACAGAUAAUGGCAUUGCCACCCAUAAAAGACCUUAGUAAAAAUUCAGUUAUUGAAAAGCAUCCAUCUAUUUAAAAAUAUUACCUACACCGCAUUAACCCUUUCAUGUUAUUCAUAGUGAACUAAUUUAUUAUCGCAAUGAGGUUGAGUGCGUGGAGUCUCAGGCAGCAGUUUGAACUCCUGUAAAAGGAGGAAAAAAAAAGUUAAAAUUAUGCAUAGUCACAUUAAAGCUUAAAGAGCUGAUGUUACAGCUGUAGUCGUUUUAAAAUUAUGACAUGUAUUCAAUCUGAA